rnacentral:misc_RNA from 1 species
GAUGAAGAACCGCAGCGAAAUGCGAUAAGUAGUGUGAAUUGCAGAAUUCAGUGAAUCAUCGAAUCUUUGAACGCACAUUGCGCCCCAUGGUAUUCCGUGGGGCAUGCCUGUUCGAGCGUCAUUUACCCCCUCAAGCUCCGCUUGGUGUUGGGCGUCUGUCCCGCUUCGCGCGCGGACUCGCCCCAAAGGUAUUGGCAGCGGUCGUGCCAGCUUCUCGCGCAGCACAUUGCGCUUCUCGAGGCACCGGUGGGCCCGCGUCCAUCAAGCUCACCCCCCCAGUUUGACCUCGGAUCAGGUAGGGAUACCCGCUGAACUUAAGCAUAUCAAUAAGCGGAGGA